CAACAGGGAUUGCCCCAGUAACGGCGAGUGAAGCGGCAACAGCUCAAAUUUGAAAUCUGGCUCUCGGGCCCGAGUUGUAAUUUGUAGAGGAUGCUUUUGGUGAGGUGCCUUCCGAGUUCCCUGGAACGGGACGCCAUAGAGGGUGAGAGCCCCGUCUGGUUGGACGCCGAACCUCUGUAAAGCUCCUUCGACGAGUCGAGUAGUUUGGGAAUGCUGCUCUAAAUGGGAGGUAUAUGUCUUCUAAAGCUAAAUACCGGCCAGAGACCGAUAGCGCACAAGUAGAGUGAUCGAAAGAUGAAAAGAACUUUGAAAAGAGAGUUAAACAGUACGUGAAAUUGUUGAAAGGGAAGCGCUUGUGACCAGACUUGGGCUUGGUUGAUCAUCCGGGGUUCUCCCCGGUGCACUCUUCCGGCCCAGGCCAGCAUCAGUUCGCCCUGGGGGACAAAGGCUUCGGGAACGUGGCUCUCUCCGGGGAGUGUUAUAGCCCGUUGCGUAAUACCCUGUGGCGGACUGAGGUUCGCGCAUUCGCAAGGAUGCUGGCGUAAUGGUCAUCAGUGACCCGUCUUGA
rnacentral:rRNA from 1 species